rnacentral:misc_RNA from 1 species
AUCUGAUGACCCUUUCAUAGAAAAACCCAUCAAUUUCUCCAAUAUUGACUUUUGGGGUCACAGACAUUGCUUGCAUUUCUUGCCUCGUUUCAAUAUGGUUAAUACUUUUUUUUAUUGCCUGGUUGUGUUUUCCUUCCGAGUUGAGAAUAACAGAGACAUCAAAUGAUCAAUUGGGUACUGCUUAAACACGGGUUUAAUUUCCAUGAAAGGGUCAUCAGAUAGGAGCGAAAGACAGAAGGUUUCCUAAUCACAGAGAUUAUCAGUUGAACUAUGCUUACGAUCAUCAUAUGACCCAUU